UACAUCAUAUAAAGCAUAAAAAGUAGGAAGCAGGAAGGUGGAAUCUGCUUCAAAAUACUGUUUAACAAGGCCUUGUACACUGUUUAAAGAUGGUAUGAUUAAUAAUAAAUGCUUGCAGCUACGUGGCAGACAAAAUCCGCCACAGCUGUAAGUCAAAGCAGGAGAGAGAGGAGGCAGAGGAGGUGAAAGGCAUCGGACAGAGACAAUGCGUCAUCAGUAAAUAUGCCGAGGACAAGAGUUCUGGAGAGCAUUAUGGACCAACAGCAAAUGGGUAUUACGACUCCCCGAAGCAGCCGAUAGCACCUGAGCCAUACACUUACAACCAAACUCAGUGUAACACCAGGAGUGGAUGACCAUAAAGAUGACAGGGGAUACAGCUUAGAGGAUGGACAGAGGGGAGGAGGAAACAGACUGACUGGAAAACAGCACAUUUUAUUGAUUUAUAUUUUUGUGAUAUUUAUUUAUUUAUUUAAGGCUAAUUUAUGAAAUAGAUGUAAAAUUUGUUUAUUGAUUUAUGUGAUAAAACAUGAAGACUAUGCUGCUGUUUGAGAUAUAAACAUCAAAGUGUAUAGAAUUUUCAAAGCCUAUGUCAUUGCUGAAGUGGUCUUUUCACAUUCAGUUGUGAUAUUAUUUACCAUGUCUGAUAACUUCCUCCCCAUAUGUAUUAAAACCCUAGCUGUUGCUCUGUCAUAAAAGAAAUAGGUCUUUAUAAGAACACAAGCCAUUCCUCUUAUUUUGGCUGCAUACCAACACUCUAGCACUCCUUAACAGUUUACCUCGUGCCAGAAACUAAAAGCUGAUGAAGUUGUGUCUCAUUUGUUAUUUCACUCUUUUCUUCUACCAACUUUGGAACCAUUGUAUGACAGUGGAGCCUUAAAGCCAGGUUAGCCGCCUACAGCAGGCUCAGCUCGAUGAUUUACGGUGUCCAUUUUGGUUGUGAGAAGACUGAUUUAUAAUUAUGAGAAAAACAUUUCAUGAAUAGAGGUCUUGUAUACAAUUUUUACCUAGUGAGGUGCCUUUUUUUAUAUGAAAGAAGGUAUUUUAAUAUUUGUCUUUGAAUUAUUGAGUUUUGAUAAAACAAACCUUUCUUAGGUGUGGCGUCCUAAGUUUCAUCCUCCGUAUUGGAACUUGCUCAGGAGUUAGUUGCUCUUGUGACUAUGCAUAUAAUGUAGAAAAUGUAACUUCAUGAUCAAGAUAUAAUACUGUUCACUUUGUGAGUUAUGCAAAUGCACUUCAGCAUAUCAGUGAAUAUAUUUUGGAUAUAGUCAUGUGAAUAUUCUCUAUCUUAGGCAACGCAACGAAGUCAUUGAGAAUUGUGUGGGAAGGUGCUAAACAGAAUUUAAAUACAUACACAUACUUAGGUUAUAUGCUGUGUUACUUGUAUUUUUCCUCUUUUUAGAGACUGUUAUAUAUAUCUCCUUGUCAUGUACAUCGUAUUCUGUGAUAUUGAAGUUCUUGUAAUAAAUAUAUAUAUUAUCAGUCACUGAA